CGAGCAGCAGGGUGUCCGAUCAGGAAGUGCUCACUCAGGUGGAGGACAUGGCCAGGAAGCUGCUGGAGGAGGAAGACGUAGCCGUGCUCGUGGAGAUCUGUACGCGGUAUACAGUGGAGCGAGAGUUGAAGUCGCUAGUGCUCCCCCUGCUGGCUAUUCUUGAUGGACCGGAGAAGCUUCUAUUACUGAGGGAGAUCAGAAUGCUUGUCCCUAAAGAGGAUCUUCAGCAGUUUAACAGCAUGGUGAAACCCUUUGAGGAGGAAGCGUA